CCAGACUCCUACGGGAGGCAGCAGUGGGGAAUAUUGGGCAAUGGGCGAAAGCCUGACCCAGCAACGCCGCGUGAAGGAAGAAGGCUUUCGGGUUGUAAACUUCUUUUGACAGGGAAGAGCAGAAGACGGUACCUGUCGAAUAAGCCACGGCUAACUACGUGCCAGCAGCCGCGGUAAUACGUAGGUGGCAAGCGUUGUCCGGAUUUACUGGGUGUAAAGGGCGUGUAGCCGGGCUGACAAGUCAGAUGUGAAAUCCGGGGGCUCAACCCCCGAACUGCAUUUGAAACUGCCGAGCUUGAGUGAAGUAGAGGUAGGCGGAAUUCCCGGUGUAGCGGUGAAAUGCGUAGAGAUCGGGAGGAACACCAGUGGCGAAGGCGGCCUACUGGGCUUUAACUGACGCUGAGGCACGAAAGCGUGGGUAGCAAACAGGAUUAGAUACCCCAGUA
rnacentral:rRNA from 1 species